rnacentral:rRNA from 1 species
GACGAACGCUGGCGGCGUGCUUAACACAUGCAAGUCGAACGGAAGAGCCCUGCUUUUGUGGGGUGCUCGAGUGGCGAACGGGUGAGUAACACGUGAGUAACCUGCCCUUGACUUUGGGAUAACUUCAGGAAACUGGGGAUAAUACCGGAUAGGAGCUCCUGCUGCAUGGUGGGGGUUGGAAAGUUUCGGAGGUUGGGGAUGGACUCGCGGCUUAUCAGCUUGUUGGUGGGGUAGUGGCUUACCAAGGGUUUGACGGGUGGCCGGCCUGAGAGGUUGACCGGCCACAUUGGGACUGAGAUACGGCCCAGAGUCCUACGGGAGACAGCAGUGGGGAAUAUUGCACAAUGGGCGGAAGCCUGAUGCAGCAACGCCGCGUGCGGGAUGACGGCCUUCGGGUUGUAAACCGCUUUCGCCUGUGACGAAGCGUGAGUGACGGUAAUGGGUAAAGAAGCACCGGCUAACUACGUG